rnacentral:lncRNA from 1 species
GAUACGGGAGGUUGUCUAUGUGAGCGACAAGACGUGACUCAUAAUCUUGAGCCAAGAGAGAUGGCCUUAUUCCAGGCCAAUAAACGAAUCUUCCUUGUGGAGUUGAAGUAAUUACCAAACCUUGAGCUGGGCCUGAUAAAGGAACUUCUUGGACAUAGUCCGAGUCGAAGUCAUAGUCUUUGACUGACUCGAGUUUGGAUUGGAUUCGAGUAAGGAAACUUUGGUGGACUAUGGCUGCGUUGCGGAGUCCGUGCGGGAAUCGACUUCGACUUGAAGUCAACUUGCGGGGUAACUUGGGUGUCAGCCUGUGCGGACUAGUCCGAGUUGAAGUCGAGUCUGAGCUGUAGUCGAUCUCAUUGUGGUAGACAUUGAAAUUUUGGAUUUUCUUGGUGGGAUUCUCU